ensembl:lincRNA
GAGUGCUGCUCUGGGGUGCUUUUCAAAAUCCAUGCGUCUCAUGAAUUAUGCUGCCAGAUCUAGGAGGAGCCAGUCCUCUUUGGAACUAGGUGAACUGGGCUAAUCAGAAACAGGCCCAUCUCAUCCGCCAGCCAGUUUGCUCCAGGGCCAGAGGAAAGCCGGGGCCUCUGGCUCCCACAUCCCAUGUGGCAACCAACCAUCAGGUUAUGCUUGGCUUUGCAACGAUCAGGAAAGGCCUCACGUCUGCCUAACUGCAAAACAAUUUGGUUGGCUUAUAAAUUGCUGCCUCUAUCAUGUGCUUCUGAAUUAAAAGGAACGGAUGGUUUUUAAAGGUUUAUCUGUUUCAUUAUUAAUGCGGAAUGACCUCCUGCUGACAAAUUUCGAUUUUCACACGGUUUCUUUGCUGAUGCAGUAUCUCUGCCACCCAUGCUCUAGGGCAGCGUGGAGCCACUUCAGAGCGUGCCUUUUGUGACCCGGCGCCCAGCAGGGUGUUCUUUUCUGAGUGCAAAGAGAGAAUCCACUGACCUCAUUUGCUUCCAUCCUGUGAACCUCUCAGUGGGUUUCAGAACACCCGGGUCUGAACAGAGAAGCUUCAGAAUACUUUGUCCGACUAGAGAACUUCUUUAUGGUGGGAGGAAAAAAUGUUGCCAGUCCCACUUCCCAGACACCUGGAAUUCAUGAAGUCUGAGGACUUCUUUCAUUUUACUUUCAACUAAAAGCUCUAGCACGAAACAGCAAAGGCUCACAGAACUAAAGAUCAGGAGGUGGCCCUGUGAGAGGGUAUUCGGCCUGGAUCCCUGGUGAAACUCCAUCAUUGAGCAGGUCUGUGAUCGCCCUUGUGGUCUGCUUUCUGUAGAUAAUACUCAUAGACUAUGCUGCAUAAAUUCUCAGAUUAUUCAAAGAUGAACAAACAGUUCAAAUGGGCAGUUUUAUGUGUUUCACUCUCAACCCUUUCCUUUUUUCAGUAUGUCUCCCUCCUUUUUUCCUCUCAAGCAUAUCUACUUCAGAAAGCGUGGAAAGAAAAGAGCCUGGUGGGAAAAGUCUAUCAAGUGAUAAUGACGUGCCCUUAUGGAAAAAAUUCUGGGUUCAGAAACAAUAGAGAUACCAAACAAGAUAAGACUAAGCCACAGAGAUAUCUGAAAAGCUGCCAUCAAUCAAAGCUCUUUGUGAAGCUGGUUAGUGCAGGUUCCAUUGUUCUAAGGAGCAGGCAAAAGGAACAAAUAAAAUCCAGCUGUUUCUUCAUUCUUGCACCAGAAUUCAACCCAGCCAGCAAGACGGAGGGCCUCCCAAAUGCUGCGAUCUGCUCCGUGCUGCUCUGCUGGGCCGUCACUGCCCCCUGUGCGUUCCUGCGGGCGAGGUCUUCUCCCAGAAGCGAGACAAUGAACAGGACAGAAGUGAAUUCAUUGGCCAGACCCUCAAACUGUUGGUGAAGAGGAACGUUUCCUUGGAAUUAAGCUGCCGCUAAGUAAAGGUCAAGGCACGGGGCAGCUGGAUGUCCGUGUGGAUCCUGCAAAUGGAGAGGCUCUGCUGUGGAAACAGAAUGGAACUUAACCUCAGCUAAAACAGUGGUGGAGAGCAGAGUGAUUUUCUAAAUAAUUAAGUUUUUUCUUUUACAUACAUUAAGCCAUACACACAGCCUGAGGCACUGACAUUUUAAUUAUUUUAAUCAGUCUUUGAUGACCUCCUAGGGUUUGAGUUUUUUUGUUUUGUUUUUUUUUUUUUUUUCCAAUGGAGUCUGGCUCUGUAGCCCAGGCUGGAGUGCAAUGGCGCGAUCUCAGGAUCUCGGCUCACUGCAACCUCCACCUCCCGGGUUCAAGCGAUUCUCCUGCCACAGCCUCCCAAGUAGCUGGGCCUACAGGCACGCACCACCAUGCCCUGCUAAUUGUUUGUAUUUUUAGUAGAGACAGGGUUUCACCAUGUUAGCCAGGAUGGUCUUGAUCUCCUGACCUCAUGAUCGGCCCACCUCGGUUUGAGCUUUUUUGAGGAACCCAGUCAUGAGUUCCAACUGCUCAUCUUUGCCUGACCCUCUAGUCAAGGUCCUGCUGUGCUAGUUCUUUUUCCCCCUACAUUUUCCCCAGAAGACUCAGAGCCUACUGUGUAGCAGGCACUGCACCAGGCACUUUGCUAUGUUUCCUCUUUAAAUCUUCUCAGUAACCCUAUGAAGGAGGUCUCCUUUUACAGUAGAGAGAGCAGAGGUGCCAAGAGAUUAAGGAGGUUGCUUAAGGCCAAAGAGCAAGGACCUGGCAAACUUGAGAUGGCUCUUUGGAUCUGUACAUCUGUGCACUUGUCUUUGCAAAAAUGUUCAUUGGCCACCACCAAUUUUCUUACCUGACUAUAGGCCAAAGAAUGCACGUUUUUUAUAUUCUGCAUAAAGUUUACAUUCAAUUUCUUUUCCAAUUUUUUUUUAAAAGACCUUAGGGAGACAUCACAAAUUUUAUUUCUUUUACGUUUUUCUCUCAUCGAAUCUCUUUCUUUCCCUCUUUGACAGCUUUAUUGCAUAGGUUUAAGUAGUCUCACUACCCGCGAGAAUUUGAUAAGAAAUCAGAGAUAAUAAAUCUCAAAUUGAGAAAGCAUUCAUGGCCCAUUAGUCAUUUUCUAAGUAAAUAGUUACUCCUGGAAAUGCCAUCAUCCUGGAACCUACUUCUUCACAGAUGAGACCAUAUGAGCAAAUCCAUAAAAGCAUUUUUGGCCCUGAACACUCAGAGGAGAAGUAUGAUGGGGUGAUGCAGAAAUGUUCUUAGAAUUAUCAACAUUUGUUACUGUAGAAUAGCCAUAGUUUUUUACAUUGGGAAUACUCAUGUGCCAGAAGAAAAAGAA